GACGAACGCUGGCGGCGUGCUUAACACAUGCAAGUCGAACGGUGAAGCGGCUUCCUUUUUGGUGGGUGUGGAUGAGUGGCGAACGGGUGAGUAACACGUGAGUAACCUGCCCCCUUCUUCUGGAUAACCGCAUGAAAGUGUGGCUAAUACGGGAUAUUCUGGGUCUGUCGCAUGAUGGGUCUGGGAAAGAUAUUGUUUCGGUGGGGGAUGGGCUCGCGGCCUAUCAGCUUGUUGGUGGGGUGAUGGCCUACCAAGGCGGUGACGGGUAGCCGGCCUGAGAGGGUGGACGGUCACACUGGGACUGAGACACGGCCCAGACUCCUACGGGAGGCAGCAGUGGGGAAUAUUGCACAAUGGGCGCAAGCCUGAUGCAGCGACGCCGCGUGAGGGAUGGAGGCCUUCGGGUUGUGAACCUCUUUCGCCAGUGAAGCAGGCCUGCCUCGUUUGUGGGUGGGUUGACGGUAGCUGGAUAAGAAGCGCCGGCUAACUACGUG
rnacentral:rRNA from 1 species